AUGGCGAAGAGGGAGGACAGCCCUGGCCCAGAGGUCCAGCCAAUGGACAAGCAGUUUCUGGUGUGCAGCAUCUGCCUGGAUCGGUACCGGUGCCCCAAGGUCCUGCCUUGCCUGCACACGUUUUGUGAGAGAUGCCUCCAGAACUACAUCCCUGCCCAGAGCCUGACGCUGUCAUGUCCGGUGUGUCGGCAGACGUCCAUCCUCCCCGAGCAGGGUGUCUCCGCACUGCAGAACAACUUCUUCAUCAGUAGCCUCAUGGAGGCCAUGCAGCAGGCACCUGAUGGGGCCCACGACCCCGAGGACCCCCACCCCCUCAGCGCGGUGGCUGGCCGCCCCCUCUCCUGCCCCAACCAUGAAGGCAAGACGAUGGAGUUUUACUGUGAGGCCUGUGAGACGGCCAUGUGCGGCGAGUGCCGCGCGGGGGAGCACCGAGAGCACGGCACCGUGCUGCUGCGCGAUGUGGUGGAGCAGCACAAGGCGGCCCUGCAGCGCCAGCUCGAGGCGGUGCGCGGCCGACUGCCACAGCUGUCCGCAGCUAUCGCCUUAGUGGGGGGCAUCAGCCAGCAGCUGCAGGAGCGCAAAGCAGAGGCCCUGGCCCAGAUCAGCGCAGCCUUCGAGGACCUGGAACAGGCGCUGCAACAGCGCAAGCAGGCUCUGGUCAGCGACCUGGAGGCCAUUUGUGGGGCCAAGCAGAAGGUGUUGCAGACCCAGUUAGACACACUGCGUCAGGGGCAGGAACAUAUCGGCAGCAGCUGCAGCUUCGCGGAACAAGCCCUGCGUCUGGGCUCGGCCCCGGAGGUGUUGCUGGUGCGCAAGCACAUGCGAGAGCGGCUGGCCGCGCUGGCGGCUCAGGCCUUCCCCGAGCGGCCACAUGAGAACGCGCAGCUGGAACUGGUCCUCGAAGUCGAUGGGCUGCGGCGAUCGGUGCUCAAUCUCGGCGCGCUGCUCACCACGAGUGCCACUGCACAUGAGACCGUGGCCACGGGCGAGGGCCUGCGCCAGGCGCUCGUGGGCCAGCCCGCCUCACUCACCGUCACUACCAAAGACAAGGAUGGGAGGCUGGUGCGCACAGGCAGCGCGGAGCUGCGCGCGGAGAUCACAGGCCCCGACGGCACGCGCCUUCCUGUGCCGGUGGUGGACCACAAGAACGGCACGUAUGAGCUGGUGUACACGGCACGCACUGAAGGCGAGCUGUUCCUCUCAGUGCUGCUCUACGGCCAGCCGGUGCGUGGCAGCCCUUUCCGCGUGCGUGCCCUGCGUCCUGGAGACCUGCCACCUUCCCCAGACGACGUCAAGCGCCGCGUCAAGUCCCCCGGCGGCGCCGGCAGCCACGUUCGCCAGAAGGCGGUGCGCAGGCCCAGCUCCAUGUACAGCACAGGUGGCAAACGGAAGGACAACCCCAUUGAGGACGAACUUGUCUUCCGAGUUGGAAGUCGAGGAAGGGAGAAGGGUGAAUUCACCAAUUUACAGGGCGUGUCGGCAGCUAGCAGCGGACGCAUAGUGGUAGCAGACAGCAACAACCAAUGUAUCCAGGUUUUCUCCAAUGAAGGCCAGUUCAAGUUCCGCUUUGGGGUCCGAGGGCGCUCACCUGGGCAGCUGCAGCGCCCUACAGGUGUGGCAGUGGACACCAAUGGAGACAUUAUUGUGGCAGACUAUGACAACCGUUGGGUCAGCAUCUUCUCCCCUGAGGGCAAAUUCAAGACCAAGAUUGGAGCUGGCCGUCUCAUGGGCCCCAAAGGAGUGGCCGUAGACCGGAAUGGACAUAUCAUUGUGGUCGACAACAAGUCUUGCUGCGUCUUUACUUUCCAGCCCAAUGGCAAGCUGGUUGGCCGUUUUGGGGGCCGUGGUGCCACUGACCGCCACUUUGCAGGGCCCCAUUUUGUGGCUGUAAACAACAAGAAUGAGAUUGUAGUGACGGAUUUCCAUAACCAUUCAGUGAAGGUCAGUGUCUUUCUUCCCUCUAUGACCGCUGUCCUGACAUCUUUUCCUCUUUCACAAGACUGCUCUCUCCCUCACCAUUUUCCCCCCUUGAGAUCAUUCAUUUGAACAAUAAACAUUUAUGGCAUGGCUACUUUGUCCCAGGUGCUAUGCUAAAAGCUGGGGAUACAGCGAUGAAUAAAGCAAAUAUGCUGUGUUCUUUGUUAUGGUUUAGUAGGGGAGAGGUAAAGCAGCAUAUUGCUGUGUAUUAUUAUAUUACAGUAUGAUGUGAUAGAUUCUGUGGUAGGGCAGUGCAGGGCACUGUGUGAGGGCAUGGUAGAAGAAAUUGAUUCAGGUGAGACUGAGAACCACCUAAAACAGCAGGGGAACUAACCGGAAGGGAGAGAAGGAGGAAAGGAUUUGAGGCAAGGAGGACAAGAGGACCAAGAUUUGGAGAUGGUCCCUUAACAGUGUGUUCGAGAAACCACCAGUAGUUCAGACUGGGUUUGAAGAGGGGAGUAUGGAUCAAGUGUAGAUGAAUCUUGUGAACCCUGUUAAGGGGCUUGCUCUCUUCCUAAGAGUUAUGGGGAGUCACUGAAGGGUUGCAGGCAGCGGGGUAAUGCAGUGCUAUGUCUUAGAUCACUCUGGCUGGGGUGAGACUGGUGUCGGGAUGAUCCGUCUUUUGUAGUAAUCUAGAUGAGAAAUGUUGAGGACCGCUGCAGGGGCAAUAUAUACAGUAGGGUGCAGUUUUGAGAGAAUCAGCAAUUUGUGUUAAUUCACUGGCCGUCAAGCGGAGGAGAAGGUGGACUGGCUCUUAU